AGAGUUUGAUCCUGGCUCAGGAUGAACGCUAGCGACAGGCUUAACACAUGCAAGUCGAGGGGCAGCGGGGGUAGCGAUACCCGCCGGCGACCGGCGCACGGGUGAGUAACGCGUAUGCAACUUGCCUAUCAGAGGGGGAUAACCCGGCGAAAGUCGGACUAAUACCGCAUGAAGCAGGGAUCCCGCAUGGGGAUAUUUGCUAAAGAUUCAUCGCUGAUAGAUAGGCAUGCGUUCCAUUAGGCAGUUGGCGGGGUAACGGCCCACCAAACCGACGAUGGAUAGGGGUUCUGAGAGGAAGGUCCCCCACAUUGGUACUGAGACACGGACCAAACUCCUACGGGAGGCAGCAGUGAGGAAUAUUGGUCAAUGGCCGAGAGGCUGAACCAGCCAAGUCGCGUGAGGGAUGAAGGUUCUAUGGAUCGUAAACCUCUUUUAUAAGGGAAUAAAGUGCGGGACGUGUCCCGUUUUGUAUGUACCUUAUGAAUAAGGAUCGGCUAACUCCGUGCCAGCAGCCGCGGUAAUACGGAGGAUCCGAGCGUUAUCCGGAUUUAUUGGGUUUAAAGGGAGCGUAGAUGGAUGUUUAAGUCAGUUGUGAAAGUUUGCGGCUCAACCGUAAAAUUGCAGUUGAUACUGGAUAUCUUGAGUGCAGUUGAGGCAGGCGGAAUUCGUGGUGUAGCGGUGAAAUGCUUAGAUAUCACGAAGAACCCCGAUUGCGAAGGCAGCUUGCUAAACUGUAACUGACGUUCAUGCUCGAAAGUGUGGGUAUCAAACAGGAUUAGAUACCCUGGUAGUCCACACGGUAAACGAUGGAUACUCGCUGUUGGCGAUAUACUGUCAGCGGCCAAGCGAAAGCAUUAAGUAUCCCACCUGGGGAGUACGCCGGCAACGGUGAAACUCAAAGGAAUUGACGGGGGCCCGCACAAGCGGAGGAACAUGUGGUUUAA
rnacentral:rRNA from 1 species